UAAGAAUGCCCUUGGAUGAGACGAAGUC
rnacentral:piRNA from 1 species